rnacentral:rRNA from 1 species
GAAUUCAACUCCUACGGGAGGCAGCAGUAGGGAAUCUUCCGCAAUGGACGAAAGUCUGACGGAGCAACGCCGCGUGAGUGAUGAAGGCUUUCGGGUCGUAAAGCUCUGUUGUUAGGGAAGAACAAGUACGAGAGUAACUGCUCGUACCUUGACGGUACCUAACCAGAAAGCCACGGCUAACUACGUGCCAGCAGCCGCGGUAAUACGUAGGUGGCAAGCGUUAUCCGGAAUUAUUGGGCGUAAAGCGCGCGCAGGCGGUUUCUUAAGUCUGAUGUGAAAGCCCACGGCUCAACCGUGGAGGGUCAUUGGAAACUGGGGAACUUGAGUGCAGAAGAGAAAAGCGGAAUUCCACGUGUAGCGGUGAAAUGCGUAGAGAUGUGGAGGAACACCAGUGGCGAAGGCGGCUUUUUGGUCUGUAACUGACGCUGAGGCGCGAAAGCGUGGGGAGCAAACAGGAUUAGAUACCCUGGUAGUCCAGGCGUU